AACGAAUAUAAAGCUCAUAACGUGAUGAAAACGGUUGAGGGUCUCCCAAAACCACCCAGUGCCUUGCGAUGAAAACCUCCAAGGGACUGUGACCUUGCCCUUGUACACACCUAAUGGUCAGGUUGACGGUCACUUGGGCUUAGAUAGUCACUGCAGUAAGAACGUUAAAGUAGAUGACUUAACAACAUGACAUCCGAGACUGCAGGGAUGAAAUGAGUGUCCUCACUUCAGCAGAGGAAGCCAAGACACAUUACGAGAAUUUCCAGCGGCUUACCUGCUUAAAACCUGGGAAGCAGAGCAAUGAGUAUGUCCCAGGAGCAUUUGCAGUCACAGCAAGUGAACCAGCGGCGGUCAUCGUCUCCAGAUUCUGAGAUCCCCAUGCUUCACAACCCUUAGUCUAUGAAAAUCAUGCAGAGCGAACCUUGGACAUUGACGAAAUCAACCCGGCAAAUCAGAAGGACAGCCUGUUGCUACAGUUAUCAUAUUAACCCCAGUCAUACCAAAGAAGCUCAGAGAUAUAAAUGCUGUUUAAGAUGUGCUAGUCUCUACAUACUCCAUGUCUGGUGUGAACAUGUACAAUUGAAGGUCUCUACAUACCCAAUGUCUGGUGUGAACAUGUACAAUUGAAUGUCUCUACAUACUCCAUGUCUGGUGUGAACAUGUACAAUUGAAUGUCUCUACAUACUCCAUGUCUGGUGUGAACAUGUACAAUUGAAGGUCUCUACAUACUCCAUGUCUGGUGUGAACAUGUACAAUUGAAGGUCUCUACAUACCCCAUGUCUGGUGUGAACAUGUACAAUUGAAGGUCUCUACAUACUCCAUGUCUGGUGUGAACAUGUACAAUUGAAGGUCUCUACAUACCCCAUGUCUGGUGUGAACAUGUACAAUUGAAGGUCUCUACAUACUCCAUGUCUGGUGUGAACAUGUACAAUUGAAGGUCUCUACAUACUCCGUGUCUGGUGUGAACAUGUACAAUUGAAGGUCUCUACAUACCCCAUGUCUGGUGUGAACAUGUACAAUUGAAGGUCUCUACAUACCCCAUGUCUGGUGUGAACAUGUACACUUGAAUGUCUCUAUAUACCCCAUGUCUGGUGUAAACAUGUACAAUUGAAGGUCUCUACAUACCACAUGUCUGGUGUGAACAUGUACAAUUAAAGGUCUGUACAUACCCCAUGUCUGGUGUGAACAUGUACAAUUGAAGGUCUCUACGUACCCCAUGUCCGGUGUGAACAUGUACAAUUGAAGGUCUCUACAUACCCCGUGUCCGGUGUGAACAUGUACAAUUGAAGGUCUCAUCUUUGAAAUUGGGACAGGUGGAAAAUUGAUGCAUUGAUGCAGACAGAAGUCGCAUAAUGACAAAUCACAACAAAAAGUGGAAAUCCAGACAGUCUUGUAGCCAGCCAUGUUUUUAUGUGACCAUCCAAGUUGUGUUAAAAGAAAACAAUAGUUCAUGUUUUAUUGGAACUAUGAUGCUGAUAGUCAUUUUAUGUAAAAGGCUUUUAUGAACUAUAUUUAAAUACUCAGUAUAAUAAGAUUAAGAUUUCUUGAUAAAAGCAAUAAUGAGCAAUAUCAUUUUAA